rnacentral:rRNA from 1 species
GACGAACGCUGGCGGCGUGCUUAACACAUGCAAGUCGAACGAAAAUACCAAGCUUGCUUGGUUGAUUAGUGGCGAACGGGUGAGUAACACGUGAGUAACCUGCCCCUUACUUUCCUGGAUAACUGCUCGAAAGGGUAGCUAAUACGGGAUAUUCUGACCAGCCUGCACGGGUGGGUCUGGAAAGGUUGUUUUUCUGGUAAGGGAUGGGCUCGCGGCCUAUCAGCUUGUUGGUGGGGUGAUGGCCUACCAAGGCUUUGACGGGUAGCCGGCCGGGGGGGGGGGACGGUCACACUGUGACUGGGAUACGGCCCAGACUCCUACGGGAGGCAGCAGUGGGGAAGAUUGCACAAUGGGCGCAAGCCUGAUGCAGCGACGCCGCGUGAGGGAUGACGGCCUUCGGGAUGUAAGCCUCUUUCGUCAGGGAACAAGGCACUGGUUUUUUGGUGGUGUUGAGGGUACCUGGAGAAGAAGCGCCGGCUAACUACGUG